GCCGCCAGCUCGGCCUCGCGUGCUGUCCCUUGGGCUUCGGCUGGUCACCGAGUACGCGGCCUGAUUCAUGCAGGUUUAGGAUUUUGGCAUUGAUUGCGGGCUAAUUAAUGAACGCACUGAAUCAUCAGUCAGAGAACUGAGUGAUUGUCUCUUUCAGGCAAAAGCUGUUUGGGAUUUAGGCCUCAAGGCUGUGCACAAAUACGACACAGAAUCUGGAAGUUGACAAAACUACCCCCUUUGGCCAUUAAUUUAUCCAAAAGAGUUAGUGAGAUAGCCAAAAGUAUAUGCUUCUGUGUCAAGGGUUAUGUCUUUUUUUUUUUAAAUUGAAGCACAGUCAGUUUACAAUGCUGUGUCCAUCCCUGGUGUACAGCACCGUGUUUCAGUCAUACAUAAUACACAUGCUCGUUUUCAUAUUGUUUUCCCUUACAGGCUAUUACAAGGUGCUGAAUGUCGUCCCUUGUGCUGUGCAGUAUAAACUUGUUGUUUAUCUGUUUUAUAUACAGCAGUUAGUAUCUGCAAAUCGCAGACUCGCAGCUUAUCCUUUCCCACCCUCUCCUCCCUGGCAGCCAUAGGUGUGUCUUCUAUGUCUAUGAGUCUGUUUCUGCUUUGUAAAUGAGUUCAUUUGUGGGUUUUUGUUUGUUUGUUUUUUAGAUUCCACAUGUGAGUUUGAUAUCAUUUGGUAUUUGUUUUUCUCUGCCUGACUUACUUCACUUAGUAUGAUCAUCCCUGGGUCCAUCUGUGUUGCCGCAAAUGGCAAUAUUUUAUUUUUAAUGGCUGAGUGGUAUCCCACGGUGUAUAUAUACCACAACUUCUUUAUCCAGUCACCUGUUGAUGGACAUUUAGGCCAUCUCCAUGUCUUGGCUAUUGUAAACAAUGCUGCUAUGAACAUUGGGGUGCAGGUGUCAUCCUGAAGUAGGGUUCCUUCUGGAUAUAUGCCCAGGAGCGGGAUUCCUGGGUCAUACGGUAAGUCUAUUCCUAGUCUUUUGAAGAAUCUCCACACUAUUUUCCACAGUGGCUGCACCAAACUGCAUUCCCACCAGCAGUGUUGGAGGGUUCCCUUUUUUCCACACCCUCUCCAGCAUUUAUCAUUUGUGGAUUUUUGAAUGAUGGCCAUUCUGUCAAGUAUAUGUCUUUUUAAUGAAUGGAUUUUCAAUAUCUCUUUGGUUAAGAUCACCUUUUAGGUAGGAGCAGUUGUCAAAUGCAGAUUUCCUGGUGUUGACUAGCUCGUGGAAGUACGUUGACUGUGACGUGGGGACCUUUCCCCUUGCCCCUCCCCUCCUUCACUCACUGGCAGGCAAGGUCCUGAGGUUUAGCCAUCAGACGUGUCAGCUGUUCUGUACAUGUGGUCCCUGGGUCACUGACCCGCACGGAGGCUGUCUCCUGUCCUGCCCUGUCAGUCACCUUCGGAGCCCCGUCCCCAAGGUUGGAGAGUAGCUCUGUCUGCAGGUCCCCGACCAGAAGGUGACGCCCCUCUUGAUGGGCCUUUUCAUCUCCAGGCCUGUUUAAUGCUUGGCACCAACUUUCGUGGGAACCAGUUUGGCUUUCAGACAUUCAUCACUUUAAAUACUUUGUCUUUCCUGGAAUAAAUAUCCUACCAAUUGGUAUAUAUUUUUUCAUAUCUGAUUCCUUAACAUUUCUGCUCAUAAAAUGAGUUUGUUUACAUGCAUUCAUAAUUUCAUUGCAUUUGAAUGUCAGAGCUACAACUCUAGAGAGAAAAUCAAGAAAUUUGAAAUGAUAAAGCUUGUAAUGCCACGCACCCCUAGGGGCCAGACUGUGGCACGUGGUCGGGAGGGGCUGGGGGUGUCUGUGGCUUGGGCUUCGUUGGGGUAUGUGAAUCUCGCCUCUGUCCGUGUGUGCCUGGGGCGCCUUUAGCUCUUCUCCCCCGUGGCACCUGCAGCGCUGACAACCCCUUCGUCGCCCUCUGGUCAAGGAGAUGCGUGAGUAAUGGUUUAUCAUUAUCAGCAUGUGGCAGAGAAUUCGGGCUUUCAAAGUCUGAAGUGACCUGUCAGGGUCUUAAAGCUGCAUGGUCAGAAGGGUGUCUCACAGGCCUCAGUGUGGAGUUGAGUUGGCCUGUUUUCCUAGCACAUUAAUAAUAUUUCAGAAAAAAGAUCACUAUUUUUAUUAAAAUCCUAAAAAGUAGGACACAGCUCUGUAUCCUGGAGUAGAAUGCAGAUUUCACCUGAACUUUCAGGCUGAAGCAGAAAACUGGAAGGAAACUGAGUGCCUCGGAUUGUCCCUGCAGCCCCUGCAGGUCUGGGCUGGACACUUGUACAGCACCCCCCUCCCAGGGGACCUGCUGGGGCAUCUGGCCGGAGUCCAGGGGGCCCUCUCCUGCCCCCUCCCUCAGGAGGUGUUCCUGGAAACUGCGCACUGAAGACAGAGGGAACAGCGCUUUCCUGUACAGUGCCAGGCCUCGCGGCAGGCGUGGGGCGGGCGGCUCGGCCCUGGUCCAGAGGGUGCUUGGAGCCUCUGAGCACCUGCUGCCCCACCUGGCAGGCAACCCCGGGAGGAAACGGCGGCUCCGACUGCAUUAGGAUUCAGCAGGCGCUUGGUGCCCCGACUCCGCCGUCCCGUCCUGUAAUCAGACUGUGAGGGCGUCUUCAGACCCUCAGUCAUCUCAAAAUGAUUUUACGGUUACUCUCCCUGCAGUCGGCAAGUGAUGAUCACGGCUCACACAGGAAGGGCGCAGUGAGCUGAUUGCUGCAGGGCUUCCGGUGCUCCAAGCCUUCAUUAUUCUUCAUAAAAGAUUUCCUCCCUCUCCAACGAAGCAGCUGUAAUGAGAUCUCUCCCCCGUGCAUUACUGGUGUCUCAUUGCUGUGACGGAAAUACUGCUGCAUUCUCAUCCAUCUUGGUCAGAAGCCUUGCGUCUGCCCUCACCGCCUUUCCUGUUCCAGUCUGGAGCGAAGGUCAAGCCCGCAGCUGUGGAGGUCUCCACAGGGAGAGGCUAGGCUUCGGUGCAGCCAAGGGGAAAAAACCUUUUAAUUCUGCUCUUCCUACAAAUAGAGUCCUGUUUGAAAUAAACUAAAAAUAAUUUGCA